UACGUAGGGGGCAAGCGUUGUCCGGAUUUAUUGGGCGUAAAGAGCGUGUAGGCGGUUUGGUAGGUCCGCUGUGAAAACUCGAGCUCAACCUCGAGACGCCGGUGGAAACCAUCAGACUAGAGUCCGGAAGAGGAGAGUGGAAUUCCUGGUGUAGCGGUGAAAUGCGCAGAUAUCAGGAAGAACACCCGUGGCUAAGGCGGCUCUCUAGUACGGUAC
rnacentral:rRNA from 1 species